UGGGGAAUUUUGCACAAUGGGGGAAACCCUGAUGCAGCGACGCCGCGUGAUUUAGAAGGCCUUCUGGUUGUAAAAAUCUUUUCUAUGGGAAGAAAAUGACAGUACCAUAGGAAUAAGGACCGGCUAAUUACGUGCCAGCAGCCGCGGUAAUACGUAAGGUCCGAGCGUUGUCCGGAAUCAUUGGGCGUAAAGGGUACGUAGGCGGGUAAGCAAGUUAGAAGUGAAAUCCUGUAGCUCAACUACAGUAAGCUUUUAAAACUGCUCAUCUUGAGGUAUGGAAGGGAAAGUGGAAUUCCUAGUGUAGCGGUGAAAUGCGCAGAUAUUAGGAGGAAUACCGGUGGCGAAGGCGACUUUCUGGCCAUAACCUGACGCUGGGGUACGAAAGCGUGGGUAGCAAACAGG
rnacentral:rRNA from 1 species